rnacentral:lncRNA from 1 species
UGAGCGGAAUGAAUCCGCCGUUGAAGCGCCCGCAGGAUCCAUUGCAGGAUAAACACUCGUUUGAAGCCCGGAUAUUGACGGACCGCCUCCUGGACUACUCUGUCAACGCCCGAGGUCCAUAUUCUAUGUGAACACGUCUCAACACAAUGGACAAGGAACUUGCUAUAUGACACGGCUUCUAAAAAAGCUACUUUGAGCACUACAAGCAUUUAUAAGGAGUGCCCUGCAACGACUGGAUAUCGGCUCUUGAAAGCACUCUGCAAACACAGUGAAACAUCUAAACGUCCGCUACAACAGGUCAUCUCGAUCUUCAUGCCCGUGAUGAUGUACUUGUGGAUGGUUUACCAGCCAUCUCGUAUCACAUGAGGGAUUCCGAUCGGCAACAAAUGUUAGCUGCCUACUGUGUUAUUCAGAAUUUCCUUAUAUGCUACCAGUCUAACGAGCAAAUAAUCAUCCCGAAAAAAGCAGCAAAACAUUUAGGAGAAGCCCCAAAGAAGCAGUAGUUUAGAAAAUGUUCUCAUUCUUGAAUAUAGUUUUAAUUGUUAUCAAAAUGUCACUCAAGUACAACUGGGAGGCAAAAAAAAAAAAACACAAUUUCUUUUUGUGCAGUGAAAAUAUGUGCGAUUGUAUGAAAACACAUAGUUUACUGUUUAACAUACUUUCCAGUAGAGUUUUUGGUGCCCCCAAUGUAUAUUUGAUUUCAAUGCCCAUCU